rnacentral:rRNA from 1 species
AUGCUGCCAGCACGCCUCGCCGCCGUGCUGCUGCUCCCCCUAGUCCUCGCGCUGCUCCCAGCCGGCGGGCGAUGCCAGCAGGGCGAUGACAACCCCGGCCCCGGCGUGCGCGACCGCGCUCUGCCGCCGUCGGCCUCGUCCGCCGUCACGGCGGCGCUCAUGGCCAGGAUGGACACCGUCAGCCGCGAGCUCGUCGACGAGGUGCAGAGCAAGUACGGCUUCUGCAUGUCCAGCGUGAACAAUGAUAUCGACCAGACUUUCGACUUCACCUCCGACCCGAGCUUCAUUUCGGAGUGCAAUGAGCAAACCCAAGGGAGAUUGGUUGAGAUGAUGUGCAACAAAGCUGAAAUAGAGUUAUAUCUCAGCAGCUUGGGAAGCAAGAGCAUUGUAAGGAUUAGUAGGGAUUGCAAUCAAUUCUCAUGGGCACCUGGGUGCCAAUCUGGCUGGGCUUGCUCAACCCCGGAAGCCAACUCACUCGCAAACAACUCAUUUGAGAACCCGGUUCUGUCCAGAGCAGAGAAUUGCAGGCCAUGUUGUCCAGGUUUCUUCUGCCCUCGUGGACUGACUUGCAUGAUGCCUUGUCCUUUGGGUGCUUAUUGUCCUCUUGGGACACUGAAUAAAACUACCAACCUUUGUGACCCGUAUUCUUACCAAAUAACUCCCGGAUCAAACCAGACAUGUGGCAGUGCAGAUUCUUGGGCUGAUGUGAUUACUACCAAUGAUGUCUUCUGCCCUCCAGGGCACCAUUGCCCAACCACUACCCAAAAACUUAACUGCAGCAAGGGGUCCUAUUGCAGGAAAGGUGCCACUGGUGAAAAUAAGUGUAGAUGGAAAAGCAAGUGUAAGGAGAAUUCAGAAAAAGAAGAAAUCGCUUUGUUUGGUGGCAUACUGAUUGUUGUCUUAAUUGUCAUUUUACUACUGGUGUACAAUUGCUCUGAUCAAUUCAUUGCAGUUCGAGCUAAAAUUUUAUCGAAGUCUCGUAAAAAGGCAGCAAAGAUUGCGCAAGAAUCGGCAACAGCACGGAAAAGAUGGAAAUUAGCAAAAGAACUUGUACUAAGGCAUGAGGUGGAAAUGUAUGAUUCUUCUGCUGCACCUGAGGAAUUAGCUACAUCAUCUGAUGGGAUACUACAUGCUGAUAAAGGUAAUGGUAAGAGAUCAAAAAAUUGCAGAAAGCUAAAUGUUCGCACUGAAAGGUUCAGACGUGCAUAUAGUCAGAUAGACAAGGAAAGAGCUCUGCAGCUAGACAAAGACAAAUUAACUCUCUCUGGAAUAGUGUCUCGAGCUGCUGAAAACAGACCACAGAGGCCAAUGCUUGAGGUGGCCUUCAAAGGUCUGACAUUAUCCAUUGGGAAAAAGAAACUUCUACAAUGCGUUACUGGAAAACUUUCACCAGGCAGGAUAACGGCUAUUAUGGGUCCUUCUGGAGCAGGAAAGACCACAUUUCUCAACGCUGUGUUAGGCAAAACAUCAGGCUAUAAGAAGGAUGGAUUGGUCCUUGUAAAUGGAAAAUCCGGAUCGAUGCAGUCGUAUAAGAAGAUAAUUGGUUUUGUUCCACAAGAUGACAUCGUACAUGGAAACCUGACGGUUGAAGAAAAUCUGUGGUUUAGUGGACGCUGCAGGUUAAGCAAAAGCAUGUCAAAAGCUGAUAAGGUUCUCAUUCUUGAACGGGUUAUAGGGUCACUAGGGCUCCAAGAAAUCAGAAAUUCCCUUGUUGGGACAGUGGAAAAGCGGGGUAUUUCUGGCGGACAAAGGAAGCGUGUGAAUGUUGGGAUUGAAAUGGUUAUGGAACCAUCUCUUCUGAUACUAGACGAGCCAACAACAGGCUUAGAUAGUGCUUCCUCUCAACAACUUCUAAGAGCUCUUCGUCAUGAAGCAUCCCAAGGCGUGAAUGUUUGUGCAGUGAUUCACCAACCAAGCUAUACUUUGUUCAAUAUGUUUGAUGACUUUGUUCUUUUGGCAAGAGGCGGCCUUAUUGCUUACCAUGGGCCUAUAAGUGAAGUUGAAAAUUAUUUCUCAGGCCUGGGGAUCAAGGUUCCUGACCGUGAGAAUCCUCCAGACUAUUAUAUUGACAUCUUAGAGGGAAUAGCCAAGACAAAAAUGAGGGGACAUGCCACUCCUAAACAUUUGCCACUUCUUUGGAUUCUGCAUAAUGGAUAUGAAGUUCCAGAAGAUAUGCGGAAGGACCUCGAGGAGAUCAAUAUGAUGCACGAGUUAUAUACUGUAGGGUCCAUUACUAGAGAACUAUCUUCUGUAGAACAGACAGAGAGUAAAGAUUCUGUGCACCAAAAUGUCAGCCAAAGAAAUGAUUUACUGAAUAGGAAAACACCCGGUGUACUUGCACAAUACAGAUACUAUUUAGGGAGGGUAGCUAAGCAACGUCUACGUUAA